CUAGCAGAGCACUUGACGUGCUGUUCUUCGGUCCCUCCUUUCGUCAGGAACAUUUUGAAGACUGGUUGGUUUGGUUAGUGAAGCGCAAAGCAGUAAUUUACAACUAUGUGGAGCAGGAUGCUCUUGAUGAGGCGCGCGCUCGUCAUGUUUCUCCGCAGGCUGGGGGUGGGACAGAGGCUCGCAGACGAGACAGCCUUAGUUCAGCAGCCCUGCCUUCCGAAAUCGGCCUCAUCUCCUCUUUUUCCUUUUGUUUGUAAUGCAUGAAUGAAAACUGUAAAAGGUCCCUGCCAGCCGCGGGGCUGGUUGCCAAGCUGAAAUUACUGGAGCCGGAUCGUUGUCCUCGCCGCUGUAAUUUCCCGCCUUGGGGAGGAAUCGUAUAGGCAGCUUUCCACGGUGCAUCCAAACAAAAACAACAGGGGUGGGAAUAGGGCUUUCACACCCACGGAGAGCCGCGAGCGGGGCCAUACUGAGCACGCGCCCGGACUCCCCCGCCCUGCCUCUGUGCAGCCUUGCUGGCCGUUGGCGGAAUCGAGCAGGAUGCUGCCGUGACGUAGGGAUGGAUGUCCAGGUCGCCGCCUGGGGCAGAUGGAGGCCCUGUGGGGUAACCGGCAGUGAGGUUUCCGCAGGGCUUUCCUCAAGGCAGGAUUCUGGGGGACCCACUCCAAGAAGGCCGGGUUCUGCAUGUCUGACUAAAACCUCAUCCGCUGCAGAGGUUGGAAAUGGCGGUAGGCUCUGAACCACAUCAAGACACUAACCGAGCAUCUGGGCGUGGUAUUUCCUUCGCAAGAUUCCUCGGCCUACACUCACGCAGAACAGAUCUGAAAGCCACAAGUGGGUUUGGAUUUGGCAAUAAAAUAGAAACAAAUGAAAACGUGCAUGCAGAGUGAUGAAGAUACUUUUGGAGCGAAAAAUGCCAUGGAAGAAUGAUGCUUCGACAGGAUGAAAAAAGGAUGGACGGAGAUGAAUGGGCAGUUUUAAGCGCGUGUGUUUAAGCGACAGCUCUGUAGGGCUUGCAUUUUUACAACUUGUUAAAUCGUCUCUCUUGCUUGAAACAGCACUGCCAUCUGUUGGUGAGAGAGCAAGGCUAAAAACUUUCAUUUCUCAGCUGUGGCUGGUGUAGGGCGAUGUCGCUCAUUGUCUCACUGCAUUUAUGCGGCUAGCUCCCAUGCUGUGAUAGUGUCUCGGUUUUAUAGAUAAGAUCAGUUUCAUACCUUGUCAUAUAAACAGUUUACAUAUCUAAUCUCUUGGCUGUGAGUUAAAAACUUAUCAAUCCAUCUUUCCAUUUGUGUCUGUGUAGUGUAAUAACUUGCAGGGAAGCCUUUGUAACUCAAGCAUACUUAACUGUAUUCUUUUCUUAAAAGUGACAGUCCUGCAAUAUUCUAGCCUAAUGGGCACGUUAUCUCAUAUUAUACUGUAGCAACACUUGGAAAUGUAUUUUAUCAGUUCUGUUUGGAGUAGCUAUGAAUAAUGCAGAAGCAAGCACCAUAACCUAAGUGAUGCUUUAUUGUUAGAGGUUACUAGCGGCUCCCAGCUUAUUUUUUACUAAGCCAUGCAGGAAAAGGAGAGAAAUGUCUUAAGCUUCCACUGUGAUGGCCUACGUACUGUGAAAUAGAACAAUAUCCUUUGACCCAUGUUCUCUCAAACAUCCUAUCCCACUCUGUUCACCUGAUACGUUCACCUGGCCCAUAUCUCUGCCGUCUCAAUGUGGCGUCUUUCUUCUUCAUUCUCCUCCUCCUCCUCAGGUGACCUGUGUGCUUUUAAGCUGGGAACUUUCACCUGAAAUGACAAUCACAGCCCGUCAUUUCCACACACCGUCUCCUGUAAGGCAGCCUGCUACUUUCCCAAGUGCAAAGACAUCAUCUGGUUGCUGAAUAUGUCCCAGGUGAUUGCAGGGCCUGAGAGUGUUGAGACUGGAGCACGAUGAGCUGAUGAAUUACCUCCUUCAGUCUACUCUGAGUGUCCUCAGCCUCCUAGAGCCCUUUUCCUCUGGAGUCUCAAGGCCGCAGGUGCUACAGGUCAUGUCCAUUGAGUUUAGAAAGCUCAGUUACCACUUUUCUGAUCAGUAUUUUUAUUUUUUGUGCACUACAGGAUUCUAGCUUAGUAAUGUUUCUGAAAAUGUUAUAAAUUAUUAUUUUUAGUGGUGCGUUUAUUUCUGUCACUUAAUUGCAUCUAGUUGGUGGGUGAGAGUUUCCACAACGCACUUCAUAAACAAUCUUCCAGCAUCUUUCUGUAAAAUCGAGGCACCUGGAUAUCUGUGGGUGGUGGCAGCCUAAUGCGUAGCGCCAGCCUGAAGGCAUGGAAAACCUAACUGGGUGAAAAGUAUAUUGGCAUUUGCAGGUGAAGCACAGGAAGAAUAAUAAUAUUUUAUGUUGAACUAGACAGACAAAGCACUUAUUUUCCGAUAAAUAGUUUUCUGUCUGACGCACGACUGCUGUUUUCACGCACUGCGCUUCUGAGCAAAGGGAAGCGUUGUUCUUUUCUUUUUUGCAAGUGGUUCAGAGCAGAAACAUUGAAUCCUCAAAGUGGGAUUUAGUGUCUUUUAUGUUCAAAAACUGCGAGUGACAUUGUACUGCACGCAGCUCAUAAGUCACAACGUUUCAAUCAGCCAUUUUUUCUUCCUUAGAAUCAAGCAGAUUUUUGACUACCUGCUCCAAAAACUCUUCUUUGUUGACAUGUCUUUUUUAGUGUUCGUUUUGCAAAUACAAAUAUGUUUUGUUUUUUUUAGUUCUUAAGAACUGGGAUCUCUUUGAAAAAAACAUUGCUUCCUCUUAAUUCCGUGCUUGUCCCACUUUACUUGUCUGGCCCAGCAGGAGCCCAGUAGGACCGCCUGCAGGCGGGAUCUGGAAGCGCCACUGGAGCUCCUGCCUGUAUGCAGGCAGAUGGACGCUGGUCUCUGGUGCAGGAGAUGGAGGCCUGGGCUUCCUGCCCUGUGCAUGUCGCUUGGCACCCAUGUGCGCUUUCAGGGUGGGUGGUAGAGGCGCUGGUCUGGAAAAGAGGUUCAGGGCUGUGGGCCGCCUGCCGACACAGGGUGCUCCUUCUCUCUGGUAGGCUGAGGUCAGGGGUGAUAAAUAAUUAGCGGACAACCUCACUUAGACUGACCAUGUCCAGCAUGAAACUGACCUCGCCAUUUUGUUUCCAACUCUGUGGAAAACUUGCAUGUAGAAAUAAGAAUAAAUAAUUGGAAUGCAGGGGUUUCUUAUUUGUUGUUAUCCAGCUAUCUUGAUUGUCUAUACAUAGACCCCAGCGGGAGCCCUCUCAAGUCUGCCGGACUCCUGACUGCCCUCAAGGAUCGUCUCUUUAGCCGCUGUUUUCAGGUUUGAGCCUUAAAUCCGUCCCUGGGGAACAGGACGCUUAUAUUCUGUACUUCAAACUCGACUCCACUGCGAGCCCAAAGGAUCUCUUCAAUCGUUUCACUCCCUUCCUUCCUCACUCCCCCGUCGGCUGCUCACUGGGCAUCGGCAGGUGGGUCGCUACCAUUUCCUUACGCCGACUUGCUGUUCCCUCGUCUCGAUGUCUCAAUUCGAAGUUGACCAACCUGCUCAAAUAAGUGUGAAGUUCAGAAGGAGCUCCAAUUUCUAUCCUUCUGCUCUGGCACACAAAUAUCUCGCCGCCUUUGAGCUCCCAUUAGCUCUCUGGAAGCUUUCAGGUCUAAAACGAUCCAGUGUCUUCUCUGUAAAAGCAGGGCUUUGCACACGCUUGGCCUGUGGCAAGGAAGCAAGGGCUGGGUCCCUGGACAUGACUGGCAUGGGCUGCAACAGAUGGCUGGAGGAGACCAAGGGGACCACUCGGCAUCUCUCUGCACUGCUGUCCUGGAGCUCCAGCGCUGCAGCUUGUGGCAACAGGCGACCCCUCCUCUUCUCCCGGUGUGGGGGCAACACUCAGAGCCUUGUGGGAAACCAGGCGUAACACUGAUUUCGCAUGAAGGGUAGCAGUAAAAAGACACGUCCUUGAGUUUUAUAAAUGCCCACAGUUGCAGAGGGAGGUGUGGCGGCGACUGGCCCAGAAGUGCCACACAUGGGAUGGCCGUAUGGUCAUGCGCGUGCCCCGGCGGUCACGACGGGGGCUGGUGAUUGAUGCCAGGCGUCCUGCUGUCACAGCUGAUUCUUCUCCAGGAAUGGCUCCGGUUCAGCGUCCCCGCUGGGCGGGGGAGCCCCAGUGCUGCGGCAGCCGCUGUUGAAGUCAGCUGGCUCUCGCUCGAAACAGGUGGUGAUUUAACCGCAGUCAAUUACCCGUCUGGAGCGCUCCUCUCCACUGGCGGCGGCCGCGCGGCGGGAAGGUGAGAGUGGCGGAGAGCGCUCGCAGGUGUUGCGACAGGUUUCUAUAGUAAUGUUCCAGUCCUACAUAGAAGCCUAGGUGAAGAGACGCAGUGCUUGUGUGAUGGAUUUGCCCCAAGAGCAGGAGUGAGGAAGUGGAAGGAAGGACUUUGAGAACCUGAGGACACAUUCAGAGCUAAUGUGAAGCUGCUUAUUCCUGAUAAGUGUUGCAGCAAACUGGACCAGAGGAACAGGGUACAAGCUGAAAUAGCACCAACACUGAAAGCAUCUCAGGGAAGAAAGGAAAACAGGAGAAAACCAGAGCAUCUGAAGAUAACCCUUGCAACCGGACCCAGGACUCAAGAGCUGUCGCAACACUGUGCCACCUGUGCCUAAAGUCUAUUUUAGAUGCAAUUCAUGCAUUCAGACUGCUUACAUGAGUUUUUUAAAUGAAUGUGAGUGUUAUACUCCAGCAGCAGACUGCUCUGCAGCCCCCUGUUCACAUGUAUGGCAUUCUGGGCAGAAGGGGUUAACCAAUGGAGAUCUGCUGUGAAACUCACAGGCUAGUGGUGUGUGGUGCUGCUGGUACCGUAGAUUGUAGGAUUCUGUCCUGUGUACAAGCAGCCUGAGGAUGCGCCUGUAUCCUGCUGGAAAGUUAUCGUGUCAGAAGAAGCCGAUGGGAGGUCCCAGGACUUGUUCAGAGCUGGGCUGUGUAGUCAGAUUGCCGUCAGCCACGUCAAGUGGAGUUCUACAGGGUGACUUAACCAGGGCCUUGGCGGUUUAAGCCAAACACUGACAUCGAUGACUCAUCGGGCACUUGCAGGCUGGCAGUGAUGUCAAUGAGAGACCUGCUCUCCUGUCAGCUCCGUGACGCUCGCAGUGUGGCGGAAGAUGAAUCAUCUGACCAGCGAAUUUGUCAGAGGAGCACAGCUGCAGAACCCAAUUCUUCCCACGCGGUCCUGGACUGGAAGCUAUAAGCUGAAACUUCAAUAAAUGAACAAUGUGAAAUUG